UUGCCUUUGUUGACUAGGUCUGUUCUUUGUUUGGUCUUGCUGAUGAGCGAUGAUUUGACUUAAUAAAUAACAGGCCGUGAAAUUGUGGAUGAAUUCCUCCGAUCUGCUAUUCCUCUAUCCUUUUUGUCCCUCUCUAAUACACGGAGAAAGAACACUAUUUUACUAUCCAUUCAUUUGCUAAAAAGCAAUUACUAUUUAAUCGGAACUGAACCCGGCGUUGUUUCAGGACAUCAAGGUUUUCGAUCUUAUAUUUCCAACGGAAUCCAUGAGCACUCAAGGACCGUCAACGUCAUCAGCGUCUUCUCCUUUUUCAACCCCUCGAUGGAAAUUCGAUGUCUUUCUCACUUUUAGAGGCGAGGACACCCGCAAUAGUUUCGCAAGCCUUCUAUAUACUGCUUUGAAACAGAAGGGCGUUUUGGCCUUUAUUGAUGAAAAAAUGGAGAGAGGAAAACAUAUUUUACGAGAGAUCUUCGAAGCAAUAGAAGGAUCGAGGUUUACGAUUGUCAUUUUCUCAAGAAAUUAUGUAUCUUCGGCAUACCACUUGGAAGAGCUUGUCCACAUCGUCGGAUGCAGAGAAAAGACGGGAAUGAGAGUUCUGCCGGUUUUUUAUAACGUUAAUCCAUCUGAUGUGCGGAGGCAAAGUGGAAUUUUUGCAGAAGCUUUUACUAAGCACGAAGAACGGUUUAAGGGGGACAUGGAGAAGGUUCAAAUGUGGAGAGCUGCUUUGACAGAAGUGGCGAAUCUGUCUGGUUGGCAUCUACAAGAUGGGAAUUUGUCAGAAUCAAUCAAAAGCAUUGUAGAAAUCAUAUCACAACAUCUGCGUUCAAGUUUCACAAGCAUUACUCGUAACUUCAUUGGAAUAGAUUCUUCAAUGGAAGAAUUGUUCACUUUCUAUUCAAAUUUUAAGGACAAUGUUUGCAUGAUUGGGAUUUGUGGUAUAGGGGGAUCUGGAAAGACAACUCUUGCUAGAGUUUUCUAUGAAAAUUUUCACAGGUAUUUUGGAGGUUCUUCUUUCAUUGCUAAUGUUAGGGAAUAUUCAGAAAAAUUUGAUUUGCUUCAAUUACAGCAGCUGCUUCUGGCAGAUAUUUUGGAGGAAAAAGAUGCAGAUAUAAGGAAUGUUUAUCACGGAGUUAACAUGAUCAAGAAAAGGCUAUGUCAAAAAAAAGUUCUAAUUGUUCUGGAUGAUGUUAACAAAUUGGACCAACUAGAAAAUUUAGCUGGAGAGCAUGGUUGGUUUGGAUUGGGGAGUUUGAUCAUCAUAACAACUAGAGAUAAACAUUUGUUGGACCAUCAUGGAGUGCAUAAAAUAUAUAAGCCUAAUCCAUUAAACAAUGAUGAUGCUUUAAAACUUUUUUGUUUGAAAGCCUUCAAAAAAGAGCAACCCGAUGAAGGUUAUAUGCAACUAUCCCAGGAUGUUGUUUGCUAUGCUAAUGGGUAUCCAUUAGCUCUAAUAACUUUCGGUUCCUUUUUGCUUGGAAGAACGAUGGAUACAUGGAAAAGUGCAUUAGACAUAUUUAAAAAAUUUCCUAAAAAGGAAAUAUUUGACACACUUAAAGUAAGUUAUGAUGGCCUGGAGGAUAUGUGGAAGGAAAUAUUUCUAGAUGUUGCAUGUUUCUUUAGAGGAAAGAUGAAAGAUCAAGUAAUAGAGAUAUUAGAGACCUGUGGUUUUGACGCAAAAAUCGGAAUACAAGUACUCAUGGAUAAAUCUCUCCUAACCAUAGAAAACGACACAUUGCAGAUGCAUGAUCUACUACAAGAAAUGGAUAAGGAAAUUGUACGUCGAGAAUCACGUGAAGAGCCUGGGAAGCGCAGUAGGUUGUGGCUUCAUAAGGAUUUGUUUCAUGUAUUGAUGAACAAAACGGCAUCAAAAACAAUUCAAGCCAUAGUCCUAGACAAACCUGGAGGGGAUGAGGCAUAUCAGCACAUUGAAUCCUAUUCUGAAGUUUUUUCAAAGAUGUGUAAUCUUAGAUUGCUUAUAAUUGAUAAUGUGCACAUCCUAAAAGGCCUCAAUCAUCUUUCUAACAAAUUAAGACUUCUUGAUUGGCAUGGGUAUUCUUCAAAAUGUUUGCCUUCCAGAUUCCAAUCAAAAGAGCUUGUUGAACUUAAACUGCAGUUUAGCAAAAUUGAAUAUCUUUGGAGAGGUGUAAAGUAUUUAGACAAGUUAAAACUCAUCAAUCUUGGACAUUCCUUAAACCUUAUUAGGACACCCGACUUCACAGGGGUUCCAAGACUUGAGAAACUAUGUCUUAGCGGAUGCAUAAAUUUGGUUGAGAUCCACCCAUCCAUUGGACAACUCAGUAAGCUUACUGUUUUAAAUUUGGAAUUCUGCCGAUCUCUUAUCAACCUUCCGAGCAGCAUGGAUGGUUUAAGGUCUCUUGAAAAACUCAUUCUUUUGGGAUGCUCAAAACUUUCCAACCUGCCAGAAAACUUGGGGAAAAUCAAAUGCUUGAAGGAACUUGAUUUAACUGGAACCGCUAUUCGAGAAGUUCCCUCUUCCAUUGAUAUGUCGUGGAUGUGAAAAGGAAAUUUUUAAGUCAAGGCUUGAUAGUGUUCAUGAUGAAUUUGAAAAUUCAGCAGUAGUAAAAGCUACCAAAAUUAUGAGAACCUAUGAUGACAGUAACGUGGCAGAACAUAGUGCAAGUUGGAGCUUUCCUGGGGAAACUGAACGAGGGGUGGAGGGAAGGAGGGGCAAUUGCCCCCCUGCCUUCUCAAAAAUUCUCAAAUAGUAGUAAUACUGUAUUGUAGUGAAGGGUUAUUUGCCCUUUGAGACGAAGGACAAUCAACUUUUUACUUUGUUAUAUGUUUUAGCUUGUCAACAAGAAGCCAAGUUUUACAUUCACAUGGGAACACUUACAUUAAAUAAUCGAUCCCACCUAAUUUCUGCACAUUACUUUGCCGAAUAGGACUGGAAAAAAAAAUAUUGAAUAGGACUCUGAAAUUAAAAACCAGGCAGUUGGCCUCCUAUUUACAACUUUUUCUCUCGUUAUGAAGCUUUUCAAUCUCAAUCAGAGUUUCUGCUAUGAACCCAAAUUUUAACAACUUAAAAGAGGAAGAUAAAAUGUCUACAUAACAUUUUAAAA